ACGCCUGUAAUCCCAGCACUUCAGGAGGCCGAGGCGGGCGGGCGGAUCACGAGGUCAGGAGUUUGAGACCUCAACAGCCUGGCCAACAUGGUGAAAUCCCGUCUGUACUAAAAAUACAGAAAAUUAGCCGGAAGUGGUGGCGCGUGCCUGUAAUCCCAGCUACUCGGGAGGCUGAGGCAGGAGAAUCGCUUGAAGCCAGUAGGCGGAAGUUGCAGUGAGGGGAGAUGGUGACAUUGCACUCCAGCCUGAGUGACAAAGCAAGACUCCGUCUCAAAAAAAGAAAAAGAACAAGAACUAUAGAGCUGGGCGAGGUGGCUCACGCCUGUAAUCCCGGCACUUCAGGAGGCAGAGGCAGGUGGA
rnacentral:lncRNA from 1 species